GUUGAUUAACGUUUUCCCUUCUCUAUAUGGUCUUUGCUUUCAUCCAUAAUCCCUUUGAGGUCUGUUCUUCAAUGGCAGCUGCAGAAGCCCAAGAAGCCUCCUCUUCAACGGCUUCAUGUUCUUACCAUGUCUUCUUGAGUUUUAGAGGUGGAGACACCCGCAAGAAUUUUACCGAUCACCUCUAUACAGCUCUGGUUCAACAAGGAAUCCACACAUUCCGGGACGACGAUGAAAUCCAAAGAGGAGAGAACAUUGAGUUAGAAAUUCAAAGAGCAAUAAGAGAGUCAAAGUUAUCCAUAAUUGUACUUUCAAAAGACUAUGCUUCUUCAAGAUGGUGCCUAGACGAGCUUGUGAUGAUCAUGGAACGCAGAAGACUUGUUGGGCAUGUUGUGGUUCCAAUUUUCUACGAUGUGGAUCCAUACCAAGUCAGAAACCAGGCAGGAAGAUACGGUGAAGCGUUUGCUAGGCAUGAAAAGGACUUCAAGGAGGACAUGGGCAGAGUUGAGCAGUGGAGGGAAGCUCUAAGAGAAGCUGCAGAUCUGGGAGGGAUGGUUCUACAAGAUGGGUACGAAUCUCAGUUUAUUCAAAACAUUGUAAGAGAGGUUGAGAACAAAUUGAGUCGGACAGUGCUCGAUGUCACUCCCUGUUUAGUUGGAAUGGAUUCUCGUAUAGCACGAAUUAAUCAAUGGUUGCAAGAUGGGUCGGAUGAUGUUGAGAUAGCUACAAUCUAUGGGAUUGGUGGCAUUGGGAAAACAACCAUUGCCAAGAUAGUUUAUAAUCUAAACUUCAACAAAUUUGAUGGAAGAAGCUUUCUCGCAAAUAUCAGAGAAACUUCCGAACUACCCAAUGGCCUGAUUCGAUUGCAGAGGCAACUUCUUUCUGAUCUAGUAAAGGGAAAAACAAGCAAAAUAUACAAUGUUGAUGAAGGGAUUACUAGGAUCAGAGAUGUUUUGUACGGCAAAAGAGUUCUACUCGUUCUUGAUGAUGUUGAUGAUGUGGACCAAUUCAAUGCAAUAGUUGGAAUGCGGGAAUGGUUUCAUCCAGGAAGCAAAAUUAUUAUAACAACAAGGCAUGAGCAUUUACUAAGAUUUAUUUUCAGGUUUGAAGUUAAGGAAUUGGAUGAUAAAGAAUCACUUCGGCUCUUAAGUUGGCAUGCCUUUGGCCAAGAUCAUCCUGCGGAUGGCUACCAGAAGCAUUCUGAAAACGUGGCUCGUCAUUGUGGUGGACUCCCUUUAGCACUUCAAGUCUUGGGUUCUUCUUUAUCUGGCAAAACUACAAUUGUUUGGGAAAAUGCAUUACAGAAGUUGGAAAAAAUUGCUGAUAGUAAAAUUCAGCAUAUUCUUAGAAUAAGCUUUGAUUCUCUUCAGGAUGACCAUGACAAAAGCCUAUUCCUUGAUAUAGCUUGUUUUUUCACCGGAAUGGUCAUAGAGUAUGCUAUUAGAAUACUGGAUGGCUGUGAUUUUUAUGCCAUACUUGGCAUUCAAAAUCUCAUUGAUAGAUGCCUAGUAACUGUCAAUGAAGAAAACAGGUUGAUGGUGCAUCAAUUACUUAGAGACAUGGGACGGCAAAUUGUUCGCGAAGAAUCACCUGAUGACCCUGGAAAACGUAGCAGACUGUGGGAUCCUAAGGAUGCAACCAUUGUAUUGCGAGAAAAUAUCGUAAGAAAGAUAAUUGUCAUGGCUAUGAAUGAUAGGAAAAGAUAAGAUAAUUGUCAUGUCUAUGAAUGAUAGGAAAAGAUGUGUGCGUGUGUGCGCAUGCAAUUGAGCAAGCUUAUAAUUCAUCCCUUUCUAAAUUUUUUCCUUCUAUUAUGUGGGUGCAGGGUACGGAAUCAAUCAGGGGCCUCAGCCUCAACUUACCAAAGCUAACAGAAGACAAGCGCAGAAGGAAAAAUGCAUUUGCACUUCUCGCAAAACAAUAUGAUGAUGAAGAUUCUAAUGAAAAAUCAAGGUUGCCGGAUGAAGACAAUAAUUUGAAAAGGCGUAGGCUUAGCAUCUUUUCAUGGCAACCAGCAAACACUGCUCCAAUACGUUCAUUUUCUACAUGGGCAUUUGAGAAGAUGGUAAGACUAAAAUUGCUCAACCUCAAUUAUGCAGAACUUAAUGGAGGCUACAAGGAAUUUCCCAGAAGUUUAGUAUGGUUGUGUUGGCGUGGAUUCCCUUUGAAAUCUAUACCAAUUGAUCUCUGCCUGGACAAGCUUGUUGUUCUUGAUAUGCGCAAUAGCAAAGUAAAAUAUCUAUGGAAGGGAAUCAGGUUUCUUGUAGAGCUGAAAAUACUUAACCUUAGUCAUUCCCAUGGCCUUGUUAGAACCCCCAACUUCAUGGGACUUCCUUCUCUUGAGAGAUUAAAGCUCAAAGAUUGCAUAAACUUGAUUGAGCUUGAUGAAUCCAUUGGCAACCUUCAAAGACUUGUUUUACUGGACUUAAGGGACUGCAAAAAUUUGAAGACACUUCCUGCAGAAAUUGGCUCAUUGGAAUCUCUUGAAAAACUUAAUUUGUGUGGCUGCUCAAAACUUGAUCAGCUGCCUGAGGAGAUGAGGAAAAUGCAAUCAUUGAAGGUUCUUUAUGCAGAUGGCACUGCUUUAAAUCAAUUACAAGCUGUGAACGUGCCGUGGUAUUCAACAUUUUGGUCCUGGUUGCUACCAAGAAAAUGUCCACAAUCAAUGAGUUUCUCAUUGGCUUUUUUACCAUGCUAUUUAGUAAACUUAAGUCUAGCAAACUGCGAUCUAUCAGAUGCUGCUAUUCCAAAUGAUCUAAGCUCUCUUUGCUCCUUGGAAAAUUUAGAUCUUAAAGGAAAUCCAAUCCACAGUAUUCCAGAAAGCAUCAAAAGCCUCACUACACUCCAGUCCCUUUGCUUAGAUGAGUGCAUAAGGCUCCAAUCUCUUCCGGAGCUUCCAGAAAGUUUGGAGGAAUUAAAUGCUGAGGGCUGUACGUCAUUGGAAAGAAUUACAAAUUUGCCAAAUUUGCUGAUAACUUUGCAGGUGCAACUGUUUGGCUGUGACCAACUUGUUGAAGUACAAGGCUUGUUCAAGCUAGAACCACUCAUAAAUAUGGAUACAGAAAUGAUGAAUGAUUUGGACUUGUUUGACUUGGCAUCCUUGGGGAGUACUGAAGUGACAAUGUUUAAUGCUAUGGCAAACAGAGAAAGGAGGACUCUUCCCCAGGUAUUGCAAGAAUGUGGCAUAUUCAGCUUCUUCCUUGCUGGGAGUAAGGUUCCAUUCUGGUUCACCCAUAAAAGCAUGGGCUCCUCGAUAUCUUUUACAGUAACUCCACUUCCUGGUCAAAAUAUCUGCGGCUUAAACUUAUGCACGUUAUACUCACGCGGUGAUCAGGUAUCUUUUUUUCAUGGCGCUGGUUAUUAUGCCAAAAUCAAUAAUGAAACCAAGGGUAUAAACUGGACUUAUAGUCCAACCUUCUACGGAAUCCCAGAAGAUGAUGAGGACAUGCUAUGGUUAAGCUGUUGGAAGUUUGGAGAUGAGUUGGAAGUAGGCGAUGAAGUGAAUGUUUCAGUGCAUAUGCCAUCUGGGUUUUAUGUAAAGGAGUGUGGAAUUUACGUAGUGUGCAAGGAAGAUGUGAAGGAUGCCCACUCAAACAGUAAGGAAAUAGCACAAAGUAGCUCCUUUCGGCAUCAGAAUAUCACUGACAGAGACUUGUGGCCGUACCAGGUGGGAGAGGCAGUUUAUUUUCUACAUCAUCAUCCAUAUACAACUCCUGAUGAAAUACUGAAAUUAGCUUCUUUACAUCUCUGAACUUGAACAGAGCACACAUUCAUCUGUUGCUCAUGUUUUACGUGCAUGUGAUGGGUAUAAGGAAGACAUAAUAUUACUCAAAUGUAUGUAGUCAUGCCCACAAUCUGACUUAAACUCAUGGCAGGUGCAAGAUUAACAAGAGUAAUUAUUAUUCUUGUAACGUUUAAUUCUUUAUUACUCUUAUUUGGAUGCUAACAAGAUAUUAAGUUAAUUUUUAGCUUAGUUAAUUUUUUAGUUAAUUUUUAGAGGUUAAAUGUAACGAGACUUAACAAAUGCCAAUAAGAUAUUAU
rnacentral:misc_RNA from 1 species